CACCGCGGUUAUACGAGGGGCCCAAGUUGACAAACACCGGCGUAAAAAGUGGUUAGUAUAUUCCCCAACUAAAGCCAAACACCUUCAAAGCUGUUAUAUGCUCCCGAAGGCAGGAAGCCCCCUCACGAAAGUGGCUUUAAACAAUACAAACCCACGAAAGCUAGGAAA
rnacentral:rRNA from 1 species